UUUUUAAAAUUGUUAUCUGUAGGGACUAUCAGCUUGUAAAUGCACAGGUUAAUCAAAGCUACGAUACAGCACAAAAGUUUCAGUCUGUAAGUGAAGCUACUUUUAAAGAAAUGCAAUCUACACAGCUUCUCAAUGACACCCCAUGCACUCCAUUCUUAGUAUUCUUAAAUGACCUAAAGACCAAUUCCUAAAGCCUGGAAUCCUAUCUUCUUCUCUCUCAGUACCUCCCCAAAUUGCUUACACCCCAACUCUGCUAAGCUUCUCAGUGUUAAAGCACCCCUCAAGUCCUAAACCUCUUUCUGCAGCGCUUUCCUACCCCCAUCACCUUUCCCCUUCUUGCUAACCCCACUCCAGCCCUUGGCGGUGACAGUCCUUUCCCUUUUGCACCUUCUUGCCGGUCACAAUGGCGCCUCUCCUUCUUGCUCAGCUUUGGGGACAGAAAUAACCGUACUUGCCCCCUGCUGCAUCUAAUUGUCUGGUGAAGGUUGAGCCCCUCCUGUAAACAGCAGCAAAGCACUGGACAGCAACAGCCCAGGUCCUUUAGCCAGCAGGGGACAGGAAGAGAGGCCAGUGGGCGCUGAUCACUCUUGCUCCAUUGCAUAAGAGAGGCUUUUUAAAUAACCAUAAAUACAGAAAGAGUGGAAUCUAGAAGAGAGAGUGGCCCUUGGUGUUGAAUACAUAUACGUGAGCCAGUUUUCUUCCUUUUCCAUUUGCCAGUGACUUAGGAGCCCUCUGGUUUGUCUUCUCUGGGGGUCUUUUGCCUCUUUCCCCAGGUACAUUGGACCUCUGUCUUGCACAGCCCUGAGAGGGCAAUGAGAUGAGCUGCACCUUGAGAGAGACAGAGCUUGCAUCUGGCUUGGCCAAGACUCUGGUUCUGAUGAUAUAACUGAAGCUGAGUGGGGCUUGAUGGAAGUGAAGUCUGUUCUUCCAUGAGCUUAGAUGAGAAAACAGAGGCACAAGGAAGUUGCAAAAAGUGCCUGGGUGCUGAGAGGAAGAUGCAGGCUUUGCCCUCGGAUAUAAAUUAACGUGAAGACAUGCAGCUGAGUGCCUGGCUGGGCCCCUAAAUGACAGUACUUAUAAAUGUGAAGCAGAAGCAGAUGACACAG